rnacentral:rRNA from 1 species
AACUUAAGCAUAUCAAUAAGCGGAGGAAAAGAAACCAACAGGGAUUACCUCAGUAACGGCGAGUGAAGCGGUAACAGCUCAAAUUUGAAAUCUGGCUCUUUCAGGGUCCGAAUUGUAAUUUGUAGAAGAUGCUUCGAGUGUAGCUCCGGUCUAAGUUCCUUGGAACAGGACGUCAUAGAGGGUGAGAAUCCCGUAUGUGACUGGUGGCUUUCGCUCAUGUGAAGCUCUUUCGACGAGUCGAGUUGUUUGGGAAUGCAGCUCAAAAUGGGUGGUAUAUUUCAUCUAAAGCUAAAUAUUGGCCAGAGACCGAUAGCGCACAAGUAGAGUGAUCGAAAGAUGAAAAGCACUUUGGAAAGAGAGUUAAACAGUACGUGAAAUUGUUGAAAGGGAAGCGCUUGCAACCAGACUUGCAUGCUGUUAAUCAUCAGGAGUUCUCUCCUGUGCACUUGGCAGUGUUCAGGCCAGCAUCGAUUUUGGUGGUUGGAUAAAGACCUUAGGAAUGUGGCAUCUUUCGGGUGUGUUAUAGCCUUCGGUGCAAUGCAGCCAACUGGGAUCGAGGACCGCGCUUCGGCUAGGAUGCUGGCGUAAUGGUUGUAAGCGACCCGUCUUGAAACACGGACCAAGGAGUCUAACAUCUAUGCGAGUGUUUGGGUGUUAAACCCAUACGCGGAAUGAAAGUGAACGGAGGUAAGAACCCUUAAGGGUGCAUUAUCGACCGAUCCUGAUGUCUUCGGAUGGAUUUGAGUAAGAGCAUAGCUGUUGGGACCCGAAAGAUGGUGAACUAUGCGUGAAUAGGGUGAAGCCAGAGGAAACUCUGGUGGAGGCUCGCAGCGGUUCUGACGUGCAAAUCGAUCGUCAAAUUUGCGCAUAGGGGCGAAAGACUAAUCGAACUAUCUAGUUACCUUGGUUCCUGCCGAAGUUUCCU